GACAGGGGAUGCAAGCGUUAUCCGGCCUGAUUGGGCGUAAAGCGUCUGUAGGUGGCUUUUUAAGUCUGCCGUCAAAUCCCAGGGCUCAACCCUGGCCAGGCGGUGGAGACUACUAAGCUGGAGUACGGUAGGGGCAGAGGGAAUUUCCGGUGGAGCGGUGAAAUGCGUAGAUAUCGGAAAGAACACCAAGGGCGAAGGCAAUCUGCUGGGCCGAAACUGACACUGAGAGACGAGAGCUAGGGGAGCAAAUGGG
rnacentral:rRNA from 1 species